UGGGAGCUUGCUCCCAUGAGAGUGGCGCACGGGUGAGUAACGCGUAUGCAACCUACCUUUAACUGAGGGAUAGCCCAUAGAAAUGUGGAUUAAUACCUCAUAGUUCUUUUGGCCCGCAUGGGUCGAUAGAUAAAGCUCCGGCGGUUACAGAUGGGCAUGCGUGACAUUAGCUAGUUGGUAAGGUAACGGCUUACCAAGGCUACGAUGUCUAGGGGUUCUGAGAGGAUGAUCCCCCACACUGGUACUGAGACACGGACCAGACUCCUACGGGAGGCAGCAGUGAGGAAUAUUGGUCAAUGGGCGCAAGCCUGAACCAGCCAUCCCGCGUGAAGGAUGAAGGCCCUAUGGGUCGUAAACUUCUUUUAUACGCCAAGAAAAUUUCGGACGUGUCCGGAACUGACGGUAGUGUAUGAAUAAGCAUCGGCUAACUCCGUGCCAGCAGCCGCGGUAAUACGGAGGAUGCAAGCGUUAUCCGGAUUCAUUGGGUUUAAAGGGUGCGUAGGCGGCUUUUUAAGUCAGUGGUGAAAUCUUGCCGCUUAACGGUAAAAUUGCCAUUGAUACUGAAAAGCUUGAGUACAUUUGAGGUAAGCGGAAUGUGUAGUGUAGCGGUGAAAUGCUUAGAUAUUACACAGAACACCAAUUGCGAAGGCAGCUUACUAAACUGUUACUGACGCUGAUGCACGAAAGCGUGGGGAGCGAACAGGAUUAGAUACCCUGGUAGUCC
rnacentral:rRNA from 1 species